GUGGGGAAUCUUGCGCAAUGGGCGAAAGCCUGACGCAGCCAUGCCGCGUGAAUGAUGAAGGUCUUAGGAUUGUAAAAUUCUUUCAUCGGGGACGAUAAUGACGGUACCCGGAGAAGAAGCUCCGGCUAACUUCGUGCCAGCAGCCGCGGUAAUACGAAGGGGGCUAGCGUUGCUCGGAAUUACUGGGCGUAAAGGGCGCGUAGGCGGACAGCUUAGUCAGAGGUGAAAGCCCAGGGCUCAACCUUGGAAUUGCCUUUGAUACUGGCUGUCUUGAGUUUGGGAGAGGUGAGUGGAACUCCGAGUGUAGAGGUGAAAUUCGUAGAUAUUCGGAAGAACACCAGUGGCGAAGGCGACUCACUGGCCCAAUACUGACGCUGAGGCGCGAAAGCGUGGGGAGCAAACAGGAUUAGAAACCCUUGUAGUCC
rnacentral:rRNA from 1 species